ACUGUGCAUUAUAUGGUGCAAAGUGUGUAAUCAUUUAUGUGAUGGAACUUUUAUUUCUUUCUCUCUGUUGAUGAUAAGGAAAAAAAAUUAACCUGUGGACUUCUAGGAUACAAACACAUAUUAAUCCCUCACUCAUUUCUAAACAGAUAUUGUAGGGAAAAAUUAAGGCACUCUUAAGUGAUGAAAAAUUGGUAAACUACUGUGUAUAUCUCCUGAAUGUUAAAACCCCCGUGUCUUUUUGAUCUGUGUACAGUGUACAUGUCAACUGCUUGACCGACAUUUAACCAGAACAAUGUUGUACUCCAAAACCAAGCCCUCUUUAUUACUAAAUAGCCCUCUGGUCACGUCAUCAGUAAAUAAAAAGCUAAUUUAUUUUAUUGAACUUUUUCUUUGGAGGAAAAGUUGAAGUUCUUUUUUUUUGAGAAGGAAAUUGAUGAAUUUCUUUGUAGCCAAAAAAUGUUCGACUUUUGUGGAAAAGGGUUGCAGCUAUAUUUCUUUAUUAUUGACAAAAAGUGCUGAAAUAACCAAAAUGAAUGCUCUAUAUUUGCCCCCACAUUACCAUAUCACCUACUAAAUUGUUCAUUCAAAGACUUUACAACUUGUAUAACAUCCUCAAUUUAUUUUGUACAUACUUAAAAAACUUUUUGUUUGUUCUUUAUAAAUAUUUGACUGUAUUAUGUGGACAGGGCAUUUAUUGUUUUAUAUUUUGAGUGUGCAAAGCAUGAAACCUUGUUGCCAUAACAACACUUCAUAUCAGAGGUCUCCGGAUUCUUCGCAAUGAUUGUUGCGUGUUUUGAAUAAGCAUUCUUAUUACACGGUUGUAACAUUACUUGUUAAAUUUCAUUUGAUUUUUUCCCCCAAAAAAGUAACGGAAGAAAAUUUCUUUCGCUCCUGAAUUGCUAGUUCUGAAAUUUUCUCCUUCAAUUAAUGUACAUGUCUGAAAACAGCUUUAUACUUUCCCUCUAAAAAUCUAUUGAAUUGAUUUUUUUUCAAUUCUCUUUUAAGUUGAAUUUAAAAUGAUUUUAUGGUGCUUUAUUUGUAUUUAUUACUGAAACUUGGGAUCUGUCUUGUUUGAGUUGAGCCUUUUUUCUUCUUCUUGGAAGUAUAUUUGAAAGAGUACAUCAUGUUUUCAUGCUAACCAAUCUUUGUUGGUUUUAACUGACAUUGAAAUAAAAUGCUGAUGGUUGCAGUU
rnacentral:misc_RNA from 1 species